AUACGAAGGGUGCAAGCGUUAAUCGGAAUUACUGGGCGUAAAGCGCGCGUAGGUGGUUCAGUAAGUUGGAAGUGAAAUCCCCGGGCUCAACCUGGGAACUGCUUUCAAAACUGCUGAGCUAGAGUACGGUAGAGGGUGGUGGAAUUUCCUGUGUAGCGGUAGAAAUGCGUAGAUAUAGGAAGGAACACCAGUGGCGAAGGCGACCACCUGGACUGAUACUGACACUGAGGUGCGAAAGCGUGGGGAGC
rnacentral:rRNA from 1 species